rnacentral:rRNA from 1 species
UACGGAGGGGUGCGAGCGUUGUCCGGAAUCAUUGGGCGUAAAGGGCGCGUAGGUGGCACGAUCAGCGUGGCGGUGAAAGGCUCGGGGACUCAACCCCGGGUCGGCCGUGCGAACUAUCGAGCUGGGAGCACUGUAGGAGGCAGGCGGAAUUCCGGGUGUAGCGGAUGGAAUGCGUAGAGAUCCGGAAGAACACCGGUGGGCGAAGGCGGCCUGCGUGGGCAGU